UCAACUUGAGAGUUUGAUCCUGGCUCAGAACGAACGCUGGCGGCAGGCUUAACACAUGCAAGUCGAGCGCCCCGCAAGGGGAGCGGCAGACGGGUGAGUAACGCGUGGGAACGUACCAUUUGCUACGGAAUAACUCAGGGAAACUUGUGCUAAUACCGUAUGUGCCCGAAAGGGGAAAGAUUUAUCGGCAAAUGAUCGGCCCGCGUUGGAUUAGCUAGUUGGUGGGGUAAAGGCCUACCAAGGCGACGAUCCAUAGCUGGUCUGAGAGGAUGAUCAGCCACACUGGGACUGAGACACGGCCCAGACUCCUACGGGAGGCAGCAG
rnacentral:rRNA from 2 species